UCUCAGCAUGUCAGAGGACGUCUCCUUACCUCGCCUCCCCCGCUGCCUGUUAGCCAAGCCAGCUGUCCCUGCACACAGCUAGCACGCAUGCACACACAAACUACCUCAUAGGAGCCCAGACUCUGGACAGGUGCAUAGCAUAGGUAUGACAGGACCAAGUAUGCAACUUGGACCCCAACGUAUAUGCAUUGGAAGAGGAAGAAAGCAAGCAAGGGAGGUAAAAACAGGAAAUUACCUGCAACUUUUCUCCAGACUGCUGCUCUGAUUCGGUGAAGAGACUUUGGAAUCAUUGGAUCCUGUACUGUGGCCUGGUGUCAGGGAUGACCCAUGGGCUUUGCAGCACUGUGGCCAGAACAUGGAGACUAUUGAGAAAGCAGCCUGAGAUGCCCCCUAAAGUCGUCUGAGUUACCAGAUAAUGCUCUUAUUCUAGUAAGUGACACACAUUUGCCUCCUUUGUCCUGUGGAACAUCAUUAAAGCUACUGGGUUUCACUUAAAACUAGUGUGAAGCCUUGCAGCUGAUAAAGUGUGUCAUCCUAACACUUGUGCCUCCUCAGGGACCUGUUAGCAUUUUUAUUCUCUCCAGCAGGAAAAUUGGAUCAUUUCUGGCCACCCUCUCAAAUCCUCAGCUGGGUGAGAAUGCUCUACCGGGAACAGAGCUAUUGGUCUCACCAGUAUAAUUGCAGGAACUUUGUGAGAGUUUGGAACAUGCAGAUUCACACUCACUUGAAAGUUAACACAGUGCCAGACAUGUAGGCCUUUUGGGACAAUCCUUUUGAUACAAUUGUAUAUUUGUGUAUUUGAGGAAAUGAUACAUUUUCAUCACGUAUGGGUGGAGAUGUAUUACUGUACCAAUACUUUACUUAAAAGCAGUGUUGAUGUGGCUAUAUAAAACCUACACGAAGCUUUUGUGAUAUCUCACACAUGGCUACAAUAACAUCGUAAAGUAUAAAGACUACCUUUGCUGUGAAAUAAAAAUGAGGCAUGAAUGAAGUUAUAGAUUUUUGUUUACAAUAUCAAUAUAAUGAAUUAAAAGUACUCCCCAUGGAA